GAAAUGCGAUAAGUAAUGCGAAUUGCAGAAUUUCCGUGAGUCAUCGAAUCUUUGAACGCACAUUGCGCCCCUUGGUAUUCCAUGGGGCAUGUCUGUUCGAGCGUCAUUUGUACCCUCAAGCUCUGCUUGGUGUUGGGUGUUUGUCCCCGUCUCCGCGCGUGGACUCGCCCCAAAGUGAUUGGCAGCCGGCGUACUGGUCCCGGAGCGCAGCACAUGUCGCGCAAACGAGUGCCUUGGUACGGCGGCGUCCAUAAGCCCCUCUCUCACGCUCUUGACCUCGGAUCAGGUAGGGAUACCCGCUGAACUUAAGC
rnacentral:misc_RNA from 1 species